UACGUAGGGUGCAAGCGUUGUCCGGAAUUAUUGGGCGUAAAGAGCUCGUAGGCGGUUUGUCGCGUCUGCUGUGAAAACUCGGGGCUUAACUCCGGGCCUGCAGUGGGUACGGGCAGACUAGAGUGCGGUAGGGGAGACUGGAAUUCCUGGUGUAGCGGUGAAAUGCGCAGAUAUCGGGAGGAACACCAGUAGCGAAGGCGGCACUCUGGGCCGGUACUGACGCUGAGGAGCGAAAGCGUGGGGAGCGAACAGG
rnacentral:rRNA from 1 species